ensembl:lncRNA
CUCCAGUCAGAGGAGAGCAGUCAGGAGAAGAGCAAACCUAGCGGGUUCAGCUGGCUGUGGACCGCAAACUGCUCACAUCUGACCCGCUUUUUGGUCUCGUUGGAUAUGUUUUCUCUGUUAUAAUGAUCAGAGACAUUUGCACGGUUCCCGUUAAAGGGACAGAGUCAAAAGGUCGACCCGCACAUUCGCUUGUUUGACGGGGAAGCUAAGGUUAGCGGUGUUUUACUAGCCCGCUAACGACUCACUUGGACUGUAUAGUGCCUUACAGCCGUAUUAGCUUGCUGUGCUAACGUGCUAGCUCCUGGUACUUGGGUGAUAACACCGAUCACUGCUCGUGGGAACCCCUUUAACGAAGAAGGAGCGCAUACCAAUUUGGAACAUUUAGCAUUAGCAUCACCAUCCUCCUGGAUGCGCAACCUGAAGCGAGUCACCUGAAAGGCCUGGUGCAUUUGUGGAACAACAGAAGCCAAAGCAAACCUCCACCCUGCUCCUACGCGGUUCCAGCUCAGCUGGUGGUUCAGUGGCACUUGAAAAGGGGAGGUGUGUGGUCGGCCAAGAUAACACUGCAGCAGCCCCAGGACUCUCUCCACAGCAUGUCAAGCCCUUCUCCUCCUCGGACAGCCUAGCGAAGGUGCAGGAGGUAGCAAGCUGGCUUUUGGAGAUGAACCAGGAACUGCUGUCGGGGGACAGCAGCAGCAGGCAGAGUCGCAGAGUGGGGGCCCCAGGGGCCCCGGGGGGGCGAGGUAACGCCUCCUCCACGGCCAGGGCUCCCCAGCAGGCAGGGGUCGAUGAGGGAGAUGAGGAUGAGCACAUGAACAGAGUGGAGCUGGAGGAGCAGAGGCCUGCGGCGUCCCAAGUCGACAGUGAGAGAGAACAACCAUGGUCCUCCAACGAAUCUGGCACCAACGGCCCUCGCCCGGAGCCCGAGCAGAGAGAAGAGGAGCGGGCCAGCGAGGUGAACGGGCGUCCCAAAGGAACAGGCCGCUGGUCCUGGAACCCCCAACAGAGGAGACUCAGGGGGCAAGCGCUACCAGAGGAGGAAGAGGAGGAGGAGAACAAUAACUCCAGUCACCUGGAGGAGGAGGAGAGGACCGAGGGUGGGGAGGAGGAGCAGGGGAGAGAAGAAGAGGAGCGAGAGGAGGAGGAAGAGGAGGAUGAAGAGGACAUGGACCAGGACAGUGAUGACUUUGAGCAUUCAGCUGAGAGCGGCCGGGAGGAGGAAGAGGAGGAGGAAGGCCCACCAUCGCCCUCCAUAAGGACCAGUGUGUCUGCUCCCAACAGCCUGGACU